UACGUAGGGUCCGAGCGUUGUCCGGAAUUAUUGGGCGUAAAGGGCUCGUAGGCGGUCUGUUGCGUCGGGAGUGAAAACUUACAGCUUAACUGUGAGCGUGCUUUCGAUACGGGCAGACUUGAGGCAUUCAGGGGAGAACGGAAUUCCUGGUGUAGCGGUGAAAUGCGCAGAUAUCAGGAAGAACACCCGUGGCGAAGGCGGCUCUCUGGGACGGUACUGACGCUGAGACGCGAAAGCGUGGGGAGCAAACAGG
rnacentral:rRNA from 1 species